AGAGCGCGGGCCGCGGGUCUUCCUUUGCUGAGCCGACUGUGAGCUGCGGGGUAGGAGGCGAGUGCGGCGCUCUCCGAUCAUUCGUUGGCUCCAGCGGCGUCCAACCUCGGAAUAGCUGUGAAAGCUGCUGGACCUGGUGGUCGGGUUCUCUGUUCUCCCUUUUCUUCCUUGCCACUUUUAGUUGGCCCCCAAGAUCUAGGAGUCGGCAGGAGGGACCUGAGCCGCUGCCCUAGGAUGGGAAACAGUGCCCUCCGCGCUCAUGUGGAAACCGCGCAGAAAACUGGUGUCUUUCAGCUUAAGGACCGUGGGCUGACCGAGUUCCCCUCAGAGUUGCAGAAGCUGACCAGCAAUCUAAGGACCAUCGACUUGUCCAACAACAAGAUCGAGAGCCUACCGCCUAUGAUUAUAGGGAAGUUCACUCUGCUGAAGAGCCUCUCCUUGAACAACAACAAACUGACUGUUCUUCCUGAUGAGUUAUGCAAUCUGAAAAAACUAGAGAUGCUAAGCCUAAACAACAAUCACUUGAGAGAGCUACCAUCUACCUUUGGGCAACUGUCAGCCCUCAAGACCCUGAGCCUCUCUGGGAACCAGCUGCGAGCCCUACCACCACAACUCUGUAGCCUAAGGCACUUGGAUGUGGUGGAUCUCUCCAAGAACCAGAUUCGGAGCAUACCUGACACAGUGGGGGAGCUGCAGGUCAUCGAACUCAAUCUCAACCAGAACCAGAUAUCUCAGAUCUCAGUAAAGAUAUCUUGCUGUCCUCGUCUUAAAGUUCUUCGUCUGGAAGAGAACUGUCUUGAGCUCAGCAUGCUUCCACAGAGCAUCCUCAGUGACUCCCAGAUCUGUCUGCUUGCUGUGGAAGGCAACCUUUUUGAAAUAAAGAAACUUCGAGAACUGGAAGGCUAUGAUAAGUACAUGGAGAGGUUCACAGCCACUAAGAAGAAGUUUGCAUGAUGUUCUUCAGGAGCAUGGGAACCAUAUAGGACACUGACUUGGAAUCUGUUGCAAUCUGGCUGAAUCAGAGGCUCCUGUUGUUGUCAAGGAUUAUCUGCACAGAAGCUUUGGAAGAGUUUGUAACCUGGGAUCCAUAGAUGGGCUUUCAAGACCCAUGGAUGCAAGAUUCUUAUUUAUGCAUGAUUCACAUUUGUGUUUAUCUACUUCUCUGGGGAGAUAGACUAUGAUGUCUUUCAUCAAAUUACAAAGGGAUUCACCAAGCGCUCCACCCAAAAGAGAAUAGCAACUAUAAUUUAUUAAGCUCUUACGUUCACUGGGUGCUGCUCUCAGUACUUUACAUAAUAGCACACUGCGUUCCUGUGACAACUCUACGGAGUAGGAAUUGUUAAUCCCCAUUUAUAGCCAAGGAAAACUGAGGCACAGAAAUGGGCUUGCAGUCUCAGCAAGUAGCAAGAGUGUAAAUUCAGACAAAGUUGAGUGCCUUCUAACUAAUUAUAUUGUGUGGGCAGCAUUUAGGUGUUCUCAGAACUAUUGCCUUUAGCCAUAAUAAAAAAAAAUUUUUUUUAAGUUCCAAGUAAGGGCAUUUAGGUAUAGCACAAUCCCCAGUGUUUUAUACCUUCUUACUUUACACAUUUACUACUACCUGCCCAGCCAAACUAUUCCUCUGGCAUGCAGAGUGCCUGAUUGAGUAUCACUUUACAUAUUUUCCUCUUUAGCCUAUGAAUGUCCUCAUGUUAAUAUAAUCUUCAGUAAGUGGUCAUAGUUCUAGCUCAUAAACAUCCUUUCAAUCACUGGUGUAUUUAAGCUCGAAUGAGAGACUAAUAAAAAUUAAAAUGAACCUCAUGACAAGUCAUAGGAAGAAAAGUCAUGUCAGUACAAAAGAUGGGAAAGGUGCUAAAGGCAGCUUUCCAUUGGAGUGCUUCUUAAUUUAUGGACUUUUGCUUUAUGCAGUUUGUUAAGAACUGGUGAAAUUAUUGAUCCCCCUCUCCCCAUCCCUCCACCAAACAGUCACAGAAACACAUUACCUAUUUGAAAGAACAAUUCCAUUAGUUAGUUAUAAAAUUUAAUUGUAAAGAUCAAGCAGUGGUUAUUGGUCAAACCAAUCCACAUUAAUAGCUCUGAAGUGUACAGACACUAGUUUUUAAAUAAAGGUGACAAAUACCAAUCAGAUUCUUAUAACACUGUUCAGGAUCUAAAUAAACGUGAUUCUGAACAUAAUUCAAUCCACAAGGCUAGUUGAGUGAUAGUGCAAUCAUCAAUAAUUAAACCAAAAGCAUUAUUUUCCAAAUCACUUUUAAACAGAAUAAAUUCUAGCUUUUGUAAAGUCUAAAGCUACAAAAAACUCAAAGCAAUGUAACUAUUUUUCUACCUGAGAUCAAAACAAGUUUCUUUUUUUUCAAUCUAAACAUAAUUCUUGGCAUUGAGGUAAAUCUGAAUUCACGUGAUACACUUUGUCAAACUUUUCCAAAAAAUUUAAGCCCUGCUUUAGAGAGAAAUCCUGUUAUACAUACAUAUUUACAUAUUUUUUCUUCAAAAACUAAUGACAAUUUUAUGAGGUUAAUAGGCAUGUAAUGGGACCACGAUAGUACUAAUAAUGUGAAAAUAAAAAGCCAUUCUUUUAUACAAAGUGUUCCUAUAUGGUGCAAUAUAAAAUGCGAUCACAGAAUCUAUGUACAUACAUGAAUCACCAAAAGUUCAGAAACUAAGCUCACUUUAAGAAAAUGAAUUCUGUUUUUUUGGAGUAGAGGUUGCCAAGUUGUGUAUAACAAUUUUGUGCAUAAAAGCUCUGAAACCAAGUCUUAGCCUAAACUGGCAAUAAAUGCAACUUAAGUUAAAAACUAAACCGAACUAAAUCUUUACUGUGGCUUUGCAACUUUUGCUUUGUGGCCUGCAGGUUUUCCUGAGGUAACAACCUCUUAUCUCUUGCUUCUCCUUCUUGCUGCCCCUCUCCCUGCCUCCAGCUUCCUUUUUCAUGGCUGUCUUUGGCAAUGCUUCCAAAUCUUGAAAGCAGAAGAACCUGCUAAAGUAAAUGGGAAGGAUGAAAAAUAACACUAUAUAUGAUGUACAAAAACCAAUCUAAGAGUAUAAACCGAGGGAAAAAAAAAUACUAGAAGGAAGGCUGAGCGGUAGUCUACCCUCAAGGGGAAAGAGAACAUAAAAAAUAGGGGUCUGUACUCCUAACCCUUCUUGCACAUUAUCUUGUAAUUAGAAGAGCAUGGGACCAAAACUUCAAACUUUGAAAAGGUAAUGAUUUUGAAGGAGGAGCUACAGAAGUGAAUAAAUGAUAAGUACAGCAGCAUCUUUAGCUGUCAAUGAGUUUCUUUGCUCUGGCAUUCGCAAUGUCAAUACGAUCUUUGUUGGUGUCAGCCUGAAAAAAAGAAAAAGAUAACAGCAUUAUGUUACAAGGUAAGUUGCUCUAAAAAAGUUAAAUUUCAUAUACUUGGGAGUAACUCAUACACUGAGAAAAUUCAGGAAACAGAUGAAGUCACAUUACAAAUCUCACUGUAGGCAAGAAGAGACAAUAUGAGGGGCGCCUGGGUGGCUCAGUCGGUUAAGCAUCUGACCUCGGCUCAGGUCAUGAUCUCACAGUUCAUGAGUUUGAGCCCCGCAUCAGGCUCUGUGCUAAUAGCUCAGAGCCUGGAGCCUGCUUUGAAUUCUGUGUCUCCCUCUCUCUCUGCCCCUCUCCUGCUCAUGCUCUGUGUUUCUCUCUCCUUCAAAAAUAAAUAAAAACAUGAAAAAAAAUUUAAAAAAAGGGACAAAAUAUGAAAUUCAUUUGGGAAAACUGGGUGUAUAAACAUGACAAAGACAUGACAGAAGAAGUGGCCAGUAUUUCAUAAAUUCCAUAACAUUUUUUCAUAGUUUAAUAUGUCUGAAACUGGGAUGCAUCUUAUAAUCAGUGGCAUUUGAGAUGUGGCAUUUUAGAUGCAAUGAAAUUAACAAUACUCUUUGCUACAGAUUUGGACCUUGUGGGAUCCCCUGAACUGAAUCAUAAAAACUUUUUUUUUAAUUAAAAAAACUUUUUUUAGUGUUUAUUUUUGAGACAGAAACACAGGUGAGCAGGGGAGGGGCAGAGAGAGAGACACACACACACAGAAUCUUAAGUAGGCCCCAGGCUCCGAGAUGUCAGCACAGAGCCUGAUUCAUGGCAUGAACUCAUGGAUUAUGAGAUCAUUACCUGAGCUGAAGUUGAACACUUAACCAACUGAGCCACCCAGGCGCCCCAAUGAAUCACAGAAUCUUAUCUGAGACUACUCUAGCUCUAACCCAGAGAGACUGAAAGAAUUUUCCCCAAGAUUUUUGUAACAGAUAUAUUACCAUCCAUAUCAAUAUGUGAAUUAAAAAGAUGGGUGAUAUGUAGCCUAAACGCACAUUACAGCUUUGAAAGCAUCUCAUGAACCACUGUUUGCUUCACUGAAAUCCACCAUUAAGUGAGUCAACAGAGCUAAGCUUAAAAAUUCACCCCAUCUUUAAAGCACAAUGAGAUUUUUAAUAAAAUAACAGUAACAAGAAAUGGCUUUUAGACAUGACACAUCCAAACACUGAACACAAUUUCACUUCCAGUAUCUUUUCUAUCAUGUGAAAUUAAAAAAAAAAAGGCAGUUCUACUUUUUCUUUACUCAUAGGACACUGUUUUGUGUGUCCACUCCACAAGAACCAUUCUGCAGGACUGAUUUUCACCUACUGACUCAUAAGAUGAAGAUUCAGGAACCUACUAAUUUGUUAGUAACAAAAUAAAAUUCCUGAAAGCUAACUCAUUCAUUCAGGGGGAAGAAAAAUAGCCCUCCCAAAGGUCAGAGUAGAGUCUAAGCUUCAUAUGUGAAAUUUUAAAUAAAACCACUUCAUUCCAAGAUCUUGGUUUCAAAAUGAACCAAAUGCCAUGAGCAAGGGAUUAGAGAACUUGGCUAUUGUUUUUCAACGUGUUAGAAAUGCCACCUUAGGGGGCAACCUGGUGGCUCAUUCAGUUAAGCAUCUGACUCUUGAUUUCAGCUCAGGUCAUGAUCUCACAGUUCAUGAGAUCCAGCCCUGUGUCAGGCUCUGUACAGAUAGCCACGGAGGCUGCUUGGGAUUCCCUCUCUCUCUCCCUCUCUCUCUGCCUCUCCUGUGCUCAUGCCAUGUGUGCGCACUCUCUCAAAAUAAACAAAACAUUAAAAAAAAGAACUGCCACCUCAUCAAAACUGUCAGACUUUGAUAGGAGGACAGGAUCUCCUAUUGUUCUCUCCCAAAGUAUGGAGCAUAGACGUCCAUUACUAAAACACUGCAGAUAUCUCAAAUUUCUGAGGCACAAAGGAGAGUUUACCUUUUCCGUGAUCCGGUCUAUUUGUCGAUUUUGAGCCUCAAUCUCAUUGCCCAUGUCCAGGGCCAUGUUUUUUAGGUUUCCUAGGAUACUGCCCACUUGGGUCAGGUUCUCUUCCAUUUCAUCUUCUCUGGCGUCAUUAGUUAUACUAUCAAAAAACACAGUUAAUUCAGUACUUUUAUGGUGAAUUACAAACGGACUAAUUGGAUUUAAUUUUCAUAAAAAUAAGUAACCAAAAAUGACCUCAGCAAAUGUUAGACCUGUGGGAAUGUAGGUUGCCAUUCUUGGAAAACAUUCUGCAGUAAAAAUGGAAACAUUGCCCAAGGAAAGCACAAUGUCUUAAAGCCCAUGUAAGAGAAGUAACAACUCUAGAACAAUGGUUCUCAAAGAAUGAUCACAGCAUCGCGUGGGAACUUACACUAAUUCUCACAUUCUACUACAGAUCUACUGAAUCAGAAACUGGAAGUGGAUCCCAUCAUUCUGUGUUUUAAUAAACCUCCCAGGUCUCUUCAGCACCUCCACUCUACGUAGUAUCUUCCAGUCGAUCCUGCUGCUUGCCACUACCCUGGAGUUUGUGCCACUAAGUUGGAAUACCUUGAAAGUUACCUGUUUUUAAGGAACUGUUGAGUAGCUGCCCAUAUAAUAAUAACAACAAUAGCAACAGUAAUAAGAAUGAUUUUAAUCUUAUUUGUCUUCCUUCAAAGGGUCUUAACUGCUUUAAAGGUAAUUAUUUCCCAAACUUGACUAGGCACAGUGCAACCUGGAUGCCUGUGAACACACAGAUGCAUAAGUUACACACUGAAAAUUUUGCUUUAGUAUGUAUGGAGUACAGCCUGCAAAUCUUUUGUUAUUAUUGUUUUAUUGAAAUUCAAAAGCUUAUUUAGCUCCCCAGCCAGGGGUAAGGGACUGUGUAAGGACUUCCAAUCUGUUAUAGAAAGAGUAUUUUAGUUACUCUGGUAGUCUGCCUUAGUAUUUCUAUACAUUGGGACAGUAAGGAAUUAAUCUGAAGGAAGCAAAAGUAUACACCAAGAUUUUAUUUUUUUAAAAAGCCAUAAGAUUUGUGGUAUAUUGACUUGAAUCCCAAUCCUAGACCUGUCUUUCCAGAGCUGUAGAGCCUUAAGCAAACUUCCAUUGCAAGUGUCCUUUUUCUUAUAUGUAAAACUAAGAUAAAAUAAACAUACUGUAGUUAAUAUUAAUACUUCACGGGGCUGUGAAAAGAUCCUGUUGAUAAUGGAUGUAAACUGCUUUGAAAAGCAUUAGUCAAAUAUUUUUAUUCUUUGGCUUCAACCUCAACCUGAUCCUUACUUAAAAGUCCAUGCCUUUAAGCGCACAAUUACCAACUGGCAUGUUUACUCUUCUGGCCCAUUAACACUCCCUAGCUUUGAGGUAGCUGAAUAUAGUUAGAUUAUGGCUACAUAAAAAAACAUCAGGCCCAGGUUGUUUUGGUCUACAGUAAGAAAGAAAAGAUUCUGAUGUGUGACCGAAUUCUUUUGCUUACUAAAAUUUAUGGUCUUUCUGGGAAGCAAUUAGACUUCAUAAUAAAAUGCUUAAGCAAAUUUAUAAUUUUUAAAAUCAUUUUUAUCAUUAAAUUGCAUUGGAAUUUAAUGCAAUUAAAUUAUGAUAGAAUUAAGAAUGCCAUCUGGGGGAUGCCUGGGUGGCUCAGUCAGUUAAGCAUCGUAAUCUUGAUUUUGGCUCAUGUCAUGAUCUCAUGGUUUGUGGGAUUAAGCCCCAUGUUGGGCUCUGCGCUGACAGUGAAGAGACUGCUUGACAUUCUCUCUCUGCUCCUCCCCUGCUCAUGUGCGCGUAUGCUCUCUCUCAAAAUAAAUAAAUAUACAUUAAUGAAUAAAAAAAUAAUGCCAUCUGGAAAGUUAGAGUUAUCCUGUCAGUUUUGAGGUGUCAAAUAGUCUUUAUCACUUUUUUUCCAGAUAAAUCCCAUUCAAAAAUAGCAAGUUUGAAAUAAGGAUUUGAAAUAUCCCUUAAUCAAUUAAAGAAGCUGUUGUAAAAGCAGGAAACAAGUCUCAAGAUGUGAUCACAGUAAUUUUAACAAUUUAUACAGUUUUGGUUGUUAACAUUAAUAUUAACAGAAUAAAAACAACAAAAAAAGCUCAAUGUUAGCUAUAGUUCUUUCAUAUCAAGAAGAGACCAACUAAAUACCAAAUGUAAUGAGUACAAGUGUGUGUGUGUGUGUGUGUGUGUGUGUGUGUGUUUGCGUGUAUGUGUGUGUGUAUGCGUGUUAGGUGAUCAGGCUACAGGAAGGAAAAAAAAGGCAAGAAACAAUGGACAGAAAUCAAAUGGUUAACCAUCAUCUUCACAGUUCCUAUAAAGAACCAAAAUUAAGGAGUCAGGGGUGCCUGGCUGGCUCGGUCAGUAGAACACCCAACUCUUGAUCUCAGGGUUGUGAGUUCAAGCCCCAUGCUGGGCGUGGAGCCCACUUAAGCGCAUAGCCAAACAAAACAAAACAAUACUUAAGAAGUCAAAGAUUAUACUAAACAGUAGGCAGACUACAGGGUUAACUUUCAUAAAAAAUUAAGAUUAGUGGGGCGCCUGGGUGGCUCAGUCGGUUAAGCAUUUGACUUCAGCUCAGGUCAUGAUUUCACGAUUUGUGGGUUUGAGCCCCUCAUUAGGCUCUGUGCUGACAGCUCAGAGCCUGGAGCCUGCUUCAGAUUCUGGGUCUCCUUCUCUCUCUGUCCCUCCCCCACUUGUGCUCUGUUACUCUCUGUCUCUUAAAAAUAAACAUUAAAAAAAAAUUAA